UACAUGGGGUGCAAACGUUGCUCGGAAUUAUUGGGCGUAAAGCGCACGUAGGCGGUCCGUUAAGUCGGAUGUGAAAGCCCCUGGCUCAACCGGGGAAGUGCAUCCGAAACUGGCGGGCUAGAGUACGAAAGAGGGUCGCGGAAUUCCCGGUGUAGAGGUGAAAUUCGUAGAUAUCGGGAGGAACACCGGUGGCGAAGGCGGCGACCUGGGUCGAUACUGACGCUGAGGUGCGAAAGCGUGGGGAGCAAACAGG
rnacentral:rRNA from 1 species